GAGGAGGACGAGGAGGACGAGGAUUUGUGCUCGUAUUUGACAACAGUGAUACCUUAUCACAUGGACAGUGGCCCACCUGAUAAUCAAGCUUUACAAGUCCUCAUUAAGAUAUUAAAGGCUAUUAAUGAGGAUAGUCCAACGGUGCCCACAUUAUCAACGGACUACAUAUUGAAAGAUCUGUGCCCCACCUAGUGAUCCACUAGUACAUAUCCUCCGACGUGACAUCGCUCCGCUACGUAUGCAGAAGAAAAGAUUUAUUAAGAUGCAGAUUGCUCCUCUCUUCUUGCCAUUGUGCUUUCAGCCAUUGUUGUGCUGUGUGUUUAAAAUUUAGGACAGUAUAUAAGAUAGAAUAACAUGUACAUCUACGAAUAUAGCACUGCAAUCAAUCUUAUAUAAAUGAGCUCUCAUUGAGAUUUCUCUGUAUUUAUAACUCGACGCGAGAAGGCAAAAAUCAAUGUAAUGCCAUCUGUAAGGUAAUUGGACUCGUAUUUGCACUACGAGAACUCUUUGGGCAUUUUGCGGUGAAGUUUGAAAAAUUGUUGUAGAAGAAAUUAAAUAACUAUAAAAAUGGAUAAAAAAUAUUAUCUCUAAUAGUAAAUGUAGCUAAUACAGCUUUAACCGUAUAUCGAUUAUGUUAACGAUCUAUUGUGACAAGAUCGGAAUUAGAUAAGCUCUCUAAAUACCCUUUUCUAGUCUAUUAACUUAUAUCAUGUAUAUGUAAAUGUAUAUUUCUUCAGUUUAUACAAUCACUGCACUAGGAUUACCCUUGCCAUGUUUUAUGGUGCGCUUGUGUAAUUUCUAUAUUAUUAAUCUUACGCUUUACUCUAUU
rnacentral:lncRNA from 1 species